CAGUUUAAGACCUGUGUGGCUAGGUCCAUUUUUUCCCAUUAAUUCUUGAUAUUCUUGACCUUUUGUUCUUUCAGAUGAAUUUUAAAAUUAUUUUUCCCAGCUCUUCGAAAUGAUUUUGUGGUAGUUUGAUUGGUAUGUCACUGAAUAGGUUAAUUAAUUUAGACAGAAAUGUCCUUUUAUUUUAUUGUCUCAAACUACCCCUGAGCAGUUAAUAUUUAUCCAAUUAUUUUGGUCCAACUUUAUUUGUGUGAAAAAAAAAUGUUUUGUAAUUGUGUUCAUCUAAUUUGUGGAUUUGUCUUUCUCUUUUGCUGGUGGACUGUGUUGGUGGUAAAUAGAAAUGCUGAUGAUUUAGGAUAAGUUCAAACUUGAGAAGAAGAGGAAAACAAAUGAAGGAUGCUAAGUGAAAUCUCUUAUGCAUUUAUCAACAAAACAAGGCCCAAAUGGAAUAAAGUGACUUGAC
rnacentral:lncRNA from 1 species